AGAUGUACGCUGGCGGCAGGCCUAACACAUGCAAGUCGAGCGGUAACAGAGAGUAGCUUGCUACUUUGCUGACGAGCGGCGGACGGGUGAUGUAAUGCUUGGGAAUAUGCCUUUUGGUGGGGGACAACAGUUGGAAACGACUGCUAAUACCGCAUAAUGUCUACGGACCAAAGUGGGGGACCUUCGGGCCUCACGCCAAAAGAUUAGCCCAAGUGGGAUUAGCUAGUUGGUAAGGUAAUGGCUUACCAAGGCAACGAUCCCUAGCUGGUUUGAGAGGAUGAUCAGCCACACUGGGACUGAGACACGGCCCAGACUCCUACGGGAGGCAGCAGUGGGGAAUAUUGCACAAUGGGCGCAAGCCUGAUGCAGCCAUGCCGCGUGUGUGAAGAAGGCCUUCGGGUUGUAAAGCACUUUCAGUAAGGAGGAAAGGGUAGUCUUUAAUAGAGGCUAUCUGUGACGUUACUUACAGAAGAAGCACCGGCUAACUCCGUGCCAGCAGCCGCGGUAAUACGG
rnacentral:rRNA from 1 species